UACAGAGGGGACAAGCGUUAUUCGGAAUUAUUGGGCGUAAAGGGCGCGUAGGCGGUUCUUCAAGUCUCUCGUGAAAUCCCUCGGCUUAACUGAGGACGUGCGGGAGAUACUGAAGGGCUUGAGUCCGGAAGAGGGUGGUGGAAUUCCCAGUGUAGCGGUGAAAUGCGUAGAUAUUGGGAGGAACACCGGUGGCGAAGGCGGCCACCUGGGCCGGAACUGACGCUGAGGCGCGAAAGCGUGGGGAGCAAACGGG
rnacentral:rRNA from 1 species